UAGGGAAUCUUCCGCAAUGGACGAAAGUCUGACGGAGCAACGCCGCGUGUGUGAUGAAGGCUUUCGGGUCGUAAAACUCUGUUGUUAGGGAAGAACAAGUACAAGAGUAACUGCUUGUACCUUGACGGUACCUAACCAGAAAGCCACGGCUAACUACGUG
rnacentral:rRNA from 1 species